rnacentral:rRNA from 1 species
GACGAACGCUGGCGGCGUGCUUAACACAUGCAAGUCGAACGGCAAGGCACUGCUUUUGUGCGGUGCUCGAGUGGCGAACGGGUGCGUGACACGUGAGUAACCUGCUCUUGUCUUUGGGAUAACUUCAGGAAACUGGGGCUACUCCCGGAUCGCAGCCCCUGCUGCAUGGUGAGCGUUGGAAAGUUUCGGCGGUUGCGGAUGGACGCGCGGCUUAUCAGCUUGCUGGUGGGGGAGUGGCUUACCCAGGCAUUGACGGGUAGCCGGCCUGGGAGGGUGAACGGCCACAUGGGGACUAAGAGACGGCCCAGACGCCAACGGGGGGCAGCAGGGGGGAAUAUGGCACAAUGGGCGGAAGCCUGAGGCAGCAACGCCGCGUGCGGGAUGACGGCCUUCGGGGAGUAAACCGCUGUCGCCUGUGACGAAGCGGGAGUGACGGUAAUGGGUAAAGAAGCACCGGCUAACUACGUG